GAUGAACGCUAGCUACAGGCUUAACACAUGCAAGUCGAGGGGUAACAAGAGGAAAGCUUGCUUUUCUUGUUGACGACCGGCGCACGGGUGAGUAACGCGUAUCCAACCUGCCUAUAACUAGGGAAUAACCUUGCGAAAGUAUGACUAAUACCCUAUGAUUUCCUUUGAUGACAUCAGAUUAGGAAUAAAGAUUUAUCGGUUAUAGAUGGGGAUGCGUCUGAUUAGCUUGUUGGCGGGGUAACGGCCCACCAAGGCAACGAUCAGUAGGGGUUCUGAGAGGAAGGUCCCCCACAUUGGAACUGAGACACGGGCCAAACUCCUACGGGAGGCAGCAGUGAGGAAUAUUGGUCAAUGGGCGGAAGCCUGAACCAGCCAAGUAGCGUGCAGGAUGACGGCCCUAUGGGUUGUAAACUGCUUUUAUACAGGAAUAAAGUUAGCCACGUGUGGUUAUUUGUAGGUACUGUAUGAAUAAGGACCGGCUAAUUCCGUGCCAGCAGCCGCGGUAACAC
rnacentral:rRNA from 1 species